UAAGGAAUAUUGGUCAAUGAACGCAAGUCUGAACCAGCCAUGCCGCGUGAAGGAUGAAGGCCCUCUGGGUUGUAAACUUCUUUUAUCUGGGACGAAACAGCAGCUCUAACACAGUCUGCGAAUGACGGUACCUGAAGAAUAAGCACCGGCUAACUACGUGCCAGCAGCCGCGGUAAUACGUAGGGUGCGAGCGUUAAUCGGAAUUACUGGGCGUAGAGCGUGCGCAGGCGGUUUUGUAAGUCGGAUGUGAAAUCCCCGGGCUCAACCUGGGAACUGCGUUCGAAACUGCAAGGCUAGAGUGUGUCAGAGGGGGGUAGAAUUCCACGUGUAGCAGUGAAAUGCGUAGAUAUGUGGAGGAAUACCAAUGGCGAAGGCAGCCCCCUGGGAUAACACUGACGCUCAUGCACGAAAGCGUGGGGAGCAAACAGG
rnacentral:rRNA from 1 species